CCCGGACCGGGGCACGAACGCGUGUCCCCUGCAUCGGCAAGUGGACUCUCAACCACUGCGCCACCAGGGAAGCCCCUGCAGGACUUUUGAUGGUGGCAGCGAAGGCCUGUGUGAUCUUCAAGGCCUCUGUCCGAGCACUAGUGUGAAGACGUAGAGCUUGGAGUUGUAGCAGCCACUACAUGACAAUGAGGUGACAAACCUAAGGACAAGAAGCCUAAAGGAUGUUAGAAAGAGGAUGUGUCUUGAUGACAGCAGAUAUCACUGAGCCCCAAAACCAGCUCCAGGACUGCGGACUUCCAGACUUCUUGUUACUGCAGAUAAACCAAGAUGACCAGCAUUACCUAUAGCUGCUGACAGAGGAAUUUUGCUCUCUUUGCUUUUGAUUGCUAUGGCCCAUUGAGUUGAAUUGUUAUGUCCCAUUGAAGCCAAGCCCACAUAACACCAGGUUUCAGGUGUGGCUCUCAUGUUACAAACUCAGGCUGAAGAGAAAGGUGACUUUCUUAAUUUUUCUACGAUUGUGGCUCGUGAUCACCAUUCUAUCUAGUCAGAAGCUUCAUCUUAGCCCAUUUCAGAUCAAAGCUGGUGAGAUCUCCUUGCCCUGACUGCAAAGCUUCCAGGUCUGCUGCUUGUCGGUGCCACAUCUUUGCUACUCUUGGCCAGUGAGGAAGAUAAUUCUGCUGAGUCCUGCAGCGAGGAGUCCCAGGAUUCAGUGAGGCUGCCUUAGGCUUGGCAUCCUUGAUGUGUCACAUAGACAUCUCUACCCACACCCUGGGGGUGCAGAGGACCUCUAAGAGGGUGCCCAUCUUGAAAGCAAGGCACUGGUUCGCUUUGCUCCCAAUCCCCAAGCUCUGCGGGGCUCUUCUCCAGAGCUGGUCUGGGAACAGGGAGCAGAGAUGUUUUUCUUUUCUUUUUUAAAAUAUUUAUUUAUUUUUAGCUGCAUUGCGUCUUCAUUGCUGCGCGUGGGCUUUCUUUAGUUGCGGCGAG